GGCCGGGACCCGGAGCGUAAGAAGAUCCCGAGGGGCCUGAGAGCCUGGCUUGGAGCUAGGGGAGGGGCAGGGACCAGGUGUCAACAACGAUAUUAAUUCUUUAAUGUAUGCUGGCUGAAGCCUGCCUUUUCUGAUGCCCCUGGGGAGAAGACAGACAUCAACCUUUAAUCAGCAGAAGAUACCCCUGCUCUGGAAAAGGAGAUGGGAUAAUGCCUCAGUACCAUCAACUCAUUGGACUCAAAAUUUAAGAUGCCUGUGGAACUCAUUAUAUUGACAGACCUCUGGGAAAGAUACUGAAGCCAGAGGUUGGGGGGAGGGGCUCAGAUACACCCCUUCCCCCCAGGCUCCUCCCCUCCCCCCUCCCUGCCUGUCCAAUUCUAUUUGCCUUCUUCCCAGCACAUUCCUUUGCUCUCUGGACUUUGAACUAAGACCAAAGGAGAGAGAACUGCACUUUAUUUUUGUGGGUUUGCAUUUGGGGCUGUCAUCUAAGGCUUUGGAAUGGGAUUGGUGAUGCCCAGUGGAAAGAUGUGCCACUGAGAGAAGAGAAGAUUGGUCCAUGGCUACUGUCUGAUCCUCUGGACUAGCAAAAACAUCUUCUUGGACUGCAGGACAGGAGACUGAGCAAAAGAGAUAAAAGGUGCUUCCUUUCUUC